rnacentral:rRNA from 1 species
CUACGGGGGGCAGCAGUAAGGAAUAUUGCGCAAUGGAGGCAACUCUGACGCAGCCAUGCCGCGUGCAGGAAGAAGGCCUUAUGGGUCGUAAACUGCUUUUAUUUAGGAAUAAACCCCCGAACGUGUUCGGGGCUGAAGGUACUAAACGAAUAAGCACCGGCUAACUCCGUGCCAGCAGCCGCGGUAAUACGGAGGGUGCAAGCGUUAUCCGGAUUCAUUGGGUUUAAAGGGUGCGCAGGCGGGCUAUUAAGUCAGUGGUGAAAUCCCGGGGCUCAACUCCGGAACUGCCAUUGAUACUGAUAGUCUUGAGUUUGGUUGAAGUGGGCGGAAUGUAGCAUGUAGCGGUGAAAUGCAUAGAUAUGCUACAGAACACCAAUCGCGAAGGCAGCUCACUAAGCCAAAACUGACGCUCAUGCACGAAAGCGUGGGGAUCAAACAGGAUUAGAUACCCGGGUAGUC